CAUGCAGUCGAACGGUGAUGUCAGAGCUUGCUCUGGCGGAUCAGUGGCGAACGGGUGAGUAACACGUGAGUAACCUGCCCCCGACUCUGGGAUAACUGCUAGAAAUGGUAGCUAAUACCGGAUAUGACGAUUGGCCGCAUGGUCUGGUCGUGGAAAGAAUUUCGGUUGGGGAUGGACUCGCGGCCUAUCAGGUUGUUGGUGAGGUAAUGGCUCACCAAGCCUACGACGGGUAGCCGGCCUGAGAGGGUGACCGGCCACACUGGGACUGAGACACGGCCCAGACUCCUACGGGAGGCAGCAGUGGGGAAUAUUGCACAAUGGGCGAAAGCCUGAUGCAGCAACGCCGCGUGAGGGAUGACGGCCUUCGGGUUGUAAACCUCUUUUAGUAGGGAAGAAGCGAAAGUGACGGUACCUGCAGAAAAAGCACCGGCUAACUACGUGCCAGCAGCCGCGGUAAUACGUAGGGUGCAAGCGUUGUCCGGAAUUAUUGGGCGUAAAGAGCUCGUAGGCGGUUUGUCGCGUCUGCUGUGAAAUCCCGAGGCUCAACCUCGGGUCUGCAGUGGGUACGGGCAGACUAGAGUGCGGUAGGGGAGAUUGGAAUUCCUGGUGUAGCGGUGGAAUGCGCAGAUAUCAGGAGGAACACCGAUGGCGAAGGCAGAUCUCUGGGCCGUAACUGACGCUGAGGAGCGAAAGCAUGGGGAGCGAACAGGAUUAGAUACCCUGGUAGUCCAUGCCGUAAACGUUGGGAACUAGAUGUGGGGACCAUUCCACGGUCUCCGUGUCGCAGCUAACGCAUUAAGUUCCCCGCCUGGGGAGUACGGCCGCAAGGCUAAAACUCAAAGGAAUUGACGGGGGCCCGCACAAGCGGCGGAGCAUGCGGAUUAAUUCGAUGCAACGCGAAGAACCUUACCAAGGCUUGACAUAUACCGGAAACAUGCAGAAAUGUGUGCCCCGCAAGGUCGGUAUACAGGUGGUGCAUGGUUGUCGUCAGCUCGUGUCGUGAGAUGUUGGGUUAAGUCCCGCAACGAGCGCAACCCUCGUUCUAUGUUGCCAGCACGUAAUGGUGGGAACUCAUAGGAGACUGCCGGGGUCAACUCGGAGGAAGGUGGGGAUGACGUCAAAUCAUCAUGCCCCUUAUGUCUUGGGCUUCACGCAUGCUACAAUGGCCGGUACAAAGGGCUGCGAUACCGUAAGGUGGAGCGAAUCCCAAAAAGCCGGUCUCAGUUCGGAUUGAGGUCUGCAACUCGACCUCAUGAAGUCGGAGUCGCUAGUAAUCGCAGAUCAGCAACGCUGCGGUGAAUACGUUCCCGGGCCUUGUACACACCGCCCGUCAAGUCAUGAAAGUCGGUAACACCCGAAGCCAGUGGCCUAACCGCAAGGGAGGAGCGUCGAA
rnacentral:rRNA from 1 species